rnacentral:rRNA from 1 species
UUAUUUAUUAUAUUAUAUUUUGUUUUUGUUUAUUUUAUGUCUAAUAGAAAUAAUUUUAUUGUUUUAUUGUCUUAAUCUAUUUUAUAGAAUUGAUUUUUAUAUUAUAGUUUAUUACUAAUGUAAUUGAAUUAUGAAACAAUUAUUUCAUUUUAAAAAGUAAAUUUAAUUUAUUGUACCUUUUGUAUCAGGGUUUAUUAAAAUUUUAGUAUUUAUUUACUAGUCUCGAUUUAGGUUGAUUUACAGUUAAUUUAUAGUUAAUGUAUCAUAAUUAUUUUAAAGUUAGUUGUAGAAAUUAUAUGUUAAUCGUUUCCUAAGAUAUCUAGUUUCUUAAGAAAAAAUUUAAUUUUUUAAAGUUAAUUGUUUUUGUUUAAUUUUUUAUACAAAAAUAUUAUCUUAUUUAUUUUUUAGGGGAUAGGCUCUAAAUUUAUUUUUAUAAUUUAAAUAUUAUUAUAAUAGAAUAGUAGGCUUUAAACCAGCUAUCUUUUGAUUAGUUUUAGUUCAUUAUUUUUUGUUUUGAUUUUAUAAUUGUUUUAGAUUUUGUAUUAAGGUAUUAAGUUUAAUUUCAAAAUUUUUGUAAUAAUGAUAGAAUUAGUAUAAUAUUUUGUUUAUAAUAUUUUUCUAUGAUAAUUUAUUAUAAGGAACUAGGCGAAAUUAAUUUCAGCCUGUUUAUCAAAAACAUGUCCUCUUGAUUAAUAUUUGGAGGUUUGGCCACGGAAUUAUGACAAUGUUUUAAAGAGCCGCGGUAUUUUGACCGUGCAAAGGUAGCAUAAUCAUUAGUCUGUUAAUUAGGGGCUGGAAUGAAUCGCUUGACAAGAAGUUAACUGUCUCUUAUUAAAAUUUAAAAUUCUAAUUUUGAGUUAAAAGGCUAAAAAUUUUAUUUAGGACAAGAAGACCCUAUAGAGCUUGACAUUUUACUUUUAUAUAAUUUUUGAUCAGUCUUUUUAUAUAUAAUGAUAAUGUUUUGUUGGGGUGGCAUGAAGAAUAGUUAAACUCUUCAUUAUAAAACCAUUAAUUUAUGUUUAUUCUGAUCCAUAAUUUUUUAUCUUAAGAUUAAGUUACCUUAGGGAUGACAGCAUAAUUGUUUUUGAGAGCUCAUAUCAACAAAGCAGAUUGUGACCUCGAUGCUGGAUUAAGAAAAAUUUAGGGUGCAGUAGCCCAUUAAUUAGGUCUGUUCAACCUUUCAAUUCUUACAUGAUCUGAGUUCAGACUGGCGUAAGCCAGGUCGGUUUCUAUCCUAAGUUUAAAUUAUUCAUAUUAGUACGGAAGGACCAUAUGGAUAAAACAUUUUUUAUUUAAUUGAUUAAAAUUAAUAAUUC